CCUACGGGAGGCAGCAGUGGGGAAUAUUGCACAAUGGGCGAAAGCCUGAUGCAGCGACGCCGCGUGAGGGAUGACGGCCUUCGGGUUGUAAACCUCUUUCAGCAGGGAAGAAGCGAAAGUGACGGUACCUGCAGAAGAAGCGCCGGCUAACUACGUGCCAGCAGCCGCGGUAAUACGUAGGGCGCAAGCGUUGUCCGGAAUUAUUGGGCGUAAAGAGCUCGUAGGCGGCUUGUCACGUCGGGUGUGAAAGCCCGGGGCUUAACCCCGGGUCUGCAUUCGAUACGGGCUAGCUAGAGUGUGGUAGGGGAGAUCGGAAUUCCUGGUGUAGCGGUGAAAUGCGCAGAUAUCAGGAGGAACACCGGUGGCGAAGGCGGAUCUCUGGGCCAUUACUGACGCUGAGGAGCGAAAGCGUGGGGAGCGAACAGGAUUAGAUACCCUGGUAGUCCACGCCGUAAACGGUGGGAACUAGGUGUUGGCGACAUUCCACGUCGUCGGUGCCGCNGCACGCAUACGUUCCCGUCCGUGGUAGUACGGCCGCGAGACGUAAACGUUAAAGUAGAGUUAAGUACGCGUUGAGACGUUGCCGAACGGCGACGACGAGGGAGGAGG
rnacentral:rRNA from 1 species